rnacentral:siRNA from 1 species
GCAGCGUUAGCAGAUACACUAU